AUUGAACGCUGGCGGCAGGCCUAACACAUGCAAGUCGAACGGUAGCACAGAGAGCUUGCUCUCGGGUGACGAGUGGCGGACGGGUGAGUAAUGUCUGGGAAACUGCCCGAUGGAGGGGGAUAACUACUGGAAACGGUAGCUAAUACCGCAUAACGUCGCAAGACCAAAGUGGGGGACCUUCGGGCCUCACACCAUCGGAUGUGCCCAGAUGGGAUUAGCUAGUAGGUGGGGUAAUGGCUCACCUCGGCGACGAUCCCUAGCUGGUCUGAGAGGAUGACCAGCCACACUGGAACUGAGACACGGUCCAGACUCCUACGGGAGGCAGCGGUGGGGAAUAUUGCACAAUGGGCGCAAGCCUGAUGCAGCCAUGCCGCGUGUAUGAAGAAGGCCUUCGGGUUGUAAAGUACUUUCAGCGGGGAGGAAGGCGGUGAAGUUAAUAACUUCACCGAUUGACGUUACCCGCAGAAGAAGCACCGGCUAACUCCGUGCCAGCAGCCGCGGUAA
rnacentral:rRNA from 1 species